AGCCUGGGCUGGCCUGUGUUGUUCUGUUUUGGACAGAAUUCCGGCAGGAUCCUUGCAAGCAGAGGACCCAGCACACGGCGGGAGGGACUUGGGGUGGUUCAACUGGAGCAUCACCACCUGAGAUCUUGCUCCAGACACUGCAACAUCCCAGGAGGGCCCUGGAACACCACAGGAGGAGAGAUCCAGCUACCAAGGGGCUCAUUUUUUCAUGCUCUACAUUCAAAACAUUUAUUAUUCCAAAUCGCCUUCUGCACAUUCUACAACAAUUCUCCAUUCCUGGCAGCACAGUCUGAGACCUCUCCCUUCAAUCCAUCUGGCUUGGACCUGAAGAGGUGCCUUUGCUCCGUUGACGAGGAUCUGUGGAUGAAGAGGAAGGCUGGAAUUCAGCUGGCAGCCCUCAGCUACUGGGAGUCCAGUGAUGAGCGGCCCUGGUGGGAACCAGGUGGCAGAAAUUCUGGAACCACCACGUCUCCUUUGAUAAACAAAAGACAGAUAGGUCUCCAAAAGGUCUUGAGGAACCUCCUGUUCCCAAGGCAGGGAAUGAUGUCCAAGCGGAAGCACACUGAAGUGCCUGGAGGUGAGCAGAGCCCAGGCUCCCCGGGCGUGUUCACAAGGGAAUAUUGACAUUUGGGACCAAGGGAUGGAAAACUAGGCUGUGAGCUGCUGGAGCUGUUAUCAAGGAUAUUUAUUCCAGCAACUUUCCCUUGCAGGUCUUCUUAAGGUUGUGCCUCUUUUUCCCCAUUCCCCUCUGAGUGUCCCACACCACAUUUUCCAUUAAUUACUAAAAUAAAUCUAACAAAAUGCUCUCCUUCCUGGGCUUUUUUGGUACCUUCCACUGUUCCUUCACCUCUCUCUCUGCAUUACUGUAAGUAGUGAGUGAGUUCCUACUCUCACUCCGGGGCUUGGUUACUCAAACUGUUUAUUGAGUAAUAAAAAGAGACAAUUACAAGUCAUUGCCCAGGGAUAAUGUGCUGAUAAUUUUAUGACUGUCCCAACGGUUGGAACAGCCCACAAAUGGUGGUGAGCAGGAAAUCUGGGAUCUGCUGCCGACAGAGCCACCCCGAGGAGAUGAACCCUCGCUGCUGACAAUGAAAGCUGCUGCAACAACUGUGAGCCAUUAAAAUUGCUGUGGGGACGGCUGGUGGGGUGGGCAUUGCUUCCUUCAGAGGAAAAGCCAGAAAGAACUUUUGGAAGGUGUUUGGAAGUUCAUCCUACUCGGAGUGAGUGUGAGGGACCACCAGCACUGCUCAUGUUCAGGUCUACAAGGCCAGUAGCUGGGGCCUGGGGAUUCCUGGAAAAACAAAGAUUAGAGGGUGUUAAUGCUUUCAAGCAAACAGGGAUCAUCUCAGAGAUAACAAAGGGAUUAAGUUUCUCCAGGCACUUGAGCAGGGACCCAGCUUUAGAGCUGCUGCUGCAGGGUGACCCUCGGCUUGCUGCCACCUGUAGGAUGACAUUCCCCAUCCCUGUCACCCCAAACCCCGGGGAUUUCAUUAUUUCUGUUUUUAAGCCUAUAUCUGUAGCUGGUUCAGUUCCCAUCCAGAGGAUUUUCCAGUUCCUCUGUGAUUCCGUGGGCACAACAGGAAAUAAUUUCCAAUUUAAAGCGUGUCCCUGACCACUGAACAUGGAAAACUGCUGCCACUGAAAUGCUUCCAAUUGUCAAAAUUCAGGAAUCAGCUGCUCCCCUGUCUGAAACCAUUUCAAGGUGAUGUUCCCAUUGGCCCUCUCCAGGAGGAAUUCCUGCUCCUUCUUAGGAGCAGAACAUCACCUCAGCACUAUCUUCUCCCCAGUGAGGUGGAGCUCAGUGGAUGGAGCGGGGAGGGCCCUGGAGAGGUCUGGCUGUGCCCAUCUCCCGUGAGGAGGGAUGAGCUGCACCUCUCCCAGACCCGCAGCAGAGCCAGAGCUCAGGGUGGGCAGGAAGCCAUGGAACUGGGAGUAGCUGUUUGCAGCUGCCAGGACCUCCCAUUUGUGUGGUAGUGAUGCAGAUAGAAUCUCACAAACCGGUUUCCAUUCUGCUUUACUGCAGAUUUAAUGAUCGGAGGAAGAGCCUGACUGUUUAUUAAAACAUUAGACAGUAAAGUUUAACAAUAGACAGUAAAGGGUUUUGUUUUUCCAUCCUUCUGAUUGUUAAAGCAGCACCACUCUGGGCUGGAGAGGGAGCUGCUCCCAAUCCCUGGAUGCAGAAGGGCAGAGUGGGCUGUGA